GCUAAUGCUUGAUCCGUUCCUCGUGAUUGAUGAUGCUGAUAGUGAGUCAGUUACAAUGAUGCGACUUCAGAAGCCUAUCUAUAAUGAUAAAAUUGCUAUCGAGGACCUUCACUUGAAUGAGGAUGUUCCAAGGACUAAUAUGACCAUCACGGGGAAGUUGCACCCUGAAGAUGAUACCAUUUUUCUUAAAGUGCAGAUUGCGGAUAAAGAAGGUGGUGUUAGGCAUGUGUAUUUCCCAUUCGACACUGUGACUGACACCCCCACAGAGGUGGCAAACGAAAUGGUGAAGGAAUUAGAAAUUACAGAUUGGAAGCCAUGUGAAAUCGCUAAUAUGAUUGAUGGAGAAAUAUCUGGCCUAGUACCUCAGUGGAAGAAAUGGAAUCAGUUUGAAUCCUCCGAUUACCAUGUUCUGAGCUAUAAGGAUGAUGAUAACGAUCGCCAUAAUCCUUUCCAAGGUUUCUCGUCUUCUUCAUCUUCCCAAGUGUCAUUGUCAGGUUUGCUCUCCUCUCAAGUGAUUGACACAAACACCAAUGACCGGCGUUGGCUUCAU
rnacentral:misc_RNA from 1 species